AUUGAACGCUGGCGGCAGGCCUAACACAUGCAAGUCGAGCGGAGCGGCGGACGGGUGAGUAAUGCCUAGUAAUCUGCCUGGUAGUGAGGGAUACCUUCCGGAAACGUGCGCUAAUACCGCAUACUAUCAGAUGAGCCUCGGUCGGAUUAGCUAGUUGGUGGGGUAAAGGCCUACCAAGGCGACGAUCCGUAACCGGUCUGAGGGGAGGAUCCGUCACACUGGAACUGAGACACGGUCCAGACUCCUACGGGAGGCAGCAGUGGGGAAUAUUGGACAAUGGGCGAAAGCCUGAUCGAGCCAUGCCGCGUGUGUGAAGAAGGUUUUCGGAUUGUAAAGCACUUUAGGUUGGGAGGCGUUACCAAAAGAAUAAGCACCGGCUAACUUCGUGCCAGCAGCCGCGGUAAUUC
rnacentral:rRNA from 1 species